GUCUAUAGCCAUGCCACCCGGAAUGCACCCGAUCUCAUCUGAUCUCAGAAGCUAAGCAGGGUCGGACCUGGUUAGUACUUGGAUGGGAAACCACCUUGGAAUACUAGGUGCUGUAGGUG
rnacentral:rRNA from 1 species